UUCUUAUCUAGCACAGUCUGGCCAAAGCACCCUUGCCUGCCUACAGGCUCUCAUUAAAAAUCCUUGCAAUACAAAUUCAAGAGAAGUCUCCAGGGUCCAGUAAAUGUGAUAAAGACUGGCUAGAAAUUGAUGGAGUUAGAUACUGUAAAGAUAUUUCAGAAAAUGGCAGAAACAGAGAAUAUGGCCAUUCUGUUGCUAUCAAUUUCCAUUCCGAUGAAUUUGUCACCCAUAGAGGAUUUUAUAUUGAAUACAGAGCCUUCAGUCACACGGAGAGUUGUACUCCAGAGCAGUUGAACUGUGGUGAUGGAAAAUGUAAGCAUCAGUAUAAGAAUUGUGAAGGUGAUAAUAGCUGUGGGGAGGACAGCAAUGAAAACAACUGUUCCUACAGAAGUUGCUUCCCUUAUACUUUCAAAUGUCUUAAUGGAAAAUGCUUGUUGAAACCAAAUCCUGAAUGUGAUGGGAAAAUUGACUGCACAGAUGGAUCUGAUGAAGUGAACUGUGGUGUGGUUAACAGUAAUUUAAAAAUUAGUUAAAGACAUAAACGGAGUUAGGAAUUGGUGCUAUUGUCAAGUAUUACUGUAUUAAAAGUUGAUAACAUCAGAUGUGAGUUUAAAAAAAAAUUCCUGGUAACAUUUGCAUGAAAACGUACAUCUUAAAUUUUGUACCUUCUCAUUUUAAACUUACUGAUCUAUUCUGUCUGUGAGUAUUUAUUUCAAGCAAUGCGUGUUUCCAGGUUGUUAAACUGGUAGAUCUUGUUGCUUGUUUGAUCUGAAUGAAAUACAAAGAGUCAGGGAGCAGUGUAUGUAAGUAGGGGAAGAAUAAGAUCUUAUUCCAGUAAAUUGUUGAAAACAGCCCAGUUUAGGAUUGUGCUUAAAUGUUUUUCUGGGUUACUAACCUCUUAGGGAAUCUGUAAGGGGGACGACAGGCAAUGUGUGGUUUAUUCCUUACCCACCCAUCGAGUGAAAAUGAGCAAGUACUCAUAUCAUUUUUCCAACUCUAAGAAAAAUACUUCUUCCCCCCGCCCUGCGAUGACUUUGUGGUCUGUAAAUAAAUGUUAGUUUAUGUAUUAAUCAUAAGCAAUUAAAAUAACCUUGUGUUCUCCUUUGCUACUUUUUCCCUUUUAUUUCUAUUAGCUUGUGGAAGAAAUCUGUUUAAGAAAAACAGGAUUGUUGGAGGUGAAGAUGCACAGUCUGGAAAGUGGCCUUGGCAAGCAAGUUUACAAAUUGGAGCACAUGGACAUGUCUGUGGUGCAUCUGUUAUUUCCAAGAGGUGGCUUUUAUCUGCUGCCCAUUGCUUUCUGGAUUCCGAUUCCAUAAGGUCAUCUUGCUGGAACACUGCAGGAAGCUAGAGUGAGAAUAAUUAAUCAAAGCAUUUGCAGCAAGCUGUAUGAUGAUCUCAUCACAUCACGCAUGCUCUGUGCUGGGAACCUUAAUGGUGGCAUUGAUGCAUGCCAGGGAGAUUCUGGAGGUCCCUUGGCCUGCACAGGAAAGGGAAAUAGAUGGUACCUUGCUGGCAUUGUGAGCUGGGGUGAAGGAUGUGCGCGACGCAAUCGUCCUGGUGUAUACACUAAGGUGACAGCACUUUAUGACUGGAUUCGUCAGAAUACAAACUGAUGUGCCAAGGAGAAAAUGCAGAUCAUCUUCAUUACAAAAACUGCUUCCUACAUUAUCAAGUACAUGAACAUGCUGCUGGCUGUUUCACUGUGGAAAAAAAAGCACUACCUUAAUGCAGAAAUGAUCAUUUGUCAUUCACCUAGUGGUAACUGUUUGGAUUCAGACCCAACUUCAAAUAGCUUCAGGUUCCUUAUGGAUUCAUACAUCUUAUUCCCUACCAGUGGAAACAGAGUUCCCUUACAAAUUAAAUUUGAAUCUGGGAAAAAAAAAAAAAAAAAGUCCAGCCAAAUUGUUUUGGUAGAUCUUCUUCCCUCCUUCCACCUCUGAGAUGUAUGUGCAUCUCUUUUGCUAUCUACCUUUGCAUAGGCAUAUACGGAUAUUCAUGCUCACAUCCCAUAUAUACUCACAUAUAUUCCCUUAUUGAUGUUACAGGAUUCUAAACAUGAAUAAUUCCUUUGAUUUUUUUUUUCCAAACUACAAAUAAUAUGAUCAGUAUAGUAUACAGAUUUGAGAUGAAUUUGUGCUUUAGUUUUGCUGCCACUUCAUGGCUGUUCUUUUCUGGGCUGUAAUUUCUGGACUGUCUUCUCCUGUGCUUUUCCUAAAAUCACCAAAUACUUAGCUCACAAAUGUUAUGAUG
rnacentral:lncRNA from 7 species